UUCUAGCAGGUGCAGAGCUUAGCUGAUUGGUGAACAGUGAUUGAACUCUUUGUUCACAGUGGCUAAGUUCUGCAUCUGAG
rnacentral:pre_miRNA from 8 species